rnacentral:rRNA from 1 species
UUAAGCGACUAAGCGUACACGGUGGAUGCCCUGGCAGUCAGAGGCGAUGAAGGACGUGCUAAUCUGCGAUAAGCGUCGGUAAGGUGAUAUGAACCGUUAUAACCGGCGAUUUCCGAAUGGGGAAACCCAGUGUGAUUCGUCACACUAUCAUUAACUGAAUCCAUAGGUUAAUGAGGCGAACCGGGGGAACUGAAACAUCUAAGUACCCCGAGGAAAAGAAAUCAACCGAGAUUCCCCCAGUAGCGGCGAGCGAACGGGGAGCAGCCCAGAGCCUGAAUCAGUGUGUGUGUUAGUGGAAGCGUCUGGAAAGGCGCGCGAUACAGGGUGACAGCCCCGUACACAAAAAUGCACAUGCUGUGAGCUCGAUGAGUAGGGCGGGACACGUGGUAUCCUGUCUGAAUAUGGGGGGACCAUCCUCCAAGGCUAAAUACUCCUGACUGACCGAUAGUGAACCAGUACCGUGAGGGAAAGGCGAAAAGAACCCCGGCGAGGGGAGUGAAAAAGAACCUGAAACCGUGUACGUACAAGCAGUGGGAGCACGCUUAGGCGUGUGACUGCGUACCUUUUGUAUAAUGGGUCAGCGACUUAUAUUCUGUAGCAAGGUUAACCGAAUAGGGGAGCCGAAGGGAAACCGAGUCUUAACUGGGCGCUAAGUUGCAGGGUAUAGACCCGAAACCCGGUGAUCUAGCCAUGGGCAGGUUGAAGGUUGGGUAACACUAACUGGAGGACCGAACCGACUAAUGUUGAAAAAUUAGCGGAUGACUUGUGGCUGGGGGUGAAAGGCCAAUCAAACCGGGAGAUAGCUGGUUCUCCCCGAAAGCUAUUUAGGUAGCGCCUCGUGAAUUCAUCUCCGGGGGUAGAGCACUGUUUCGGCAAGGGGGUCAUCCCGACUUACCAACCCGAUGCAAACUGCGAAUACCGGAGAAUGUUAUCACGGGAGACACACGGCGGGUGCUAACGUCCGUCGUGAAGAGGGAAACAACCCAGACCGCCAGCUAAGGUCCCAAAGUCAUGGUUAAGUGGGAAACGAUGUGGGAAGGCCCAGACAGCCAGGAUGUUGGCUUAGAAGCAGCCAUCAUUUAAAGAAAGCGUAAUAGCUCACUGGUCGAGUCGGCCUGCGCGGAAGAUGUAACGGGGCUAAACCAUGCACCGAAGCUGCGGCAGCGACGCUGAUGCGUUGUUGGGUAGGGGAGCGUUCUGUAAGCCUGCGAAGGUGUGCUGUGAGGCAUGCUGGAGGUAUCAGAAGUGCGAAUGCUGACAUAAGUAACGAUAAAGCGGGUGAAAAGCCCGCUCGCCGGAAGACCAAGGGUUCCUGUCCAACGUUAAUCGGGGCAGGGUGAGUCGACCCCUAAGGCGAGGCCGAAAGGCGUAGUCGAUGGGAAACAGGUUAAUAUUCCUGUACUUGGUGUUACUGCGAAGGGGGGACGGAGAAGGCUAUGUUGGCCGGGCGACGGUU